UAAUGUAUUCCAUCUAACAAAAGUUAACGUUCAGUUGUAUUAAGCAAAAAGAAAAAACAAGAAAUGAAAAUUGUUGGGAUCGAAUUGCCAAAUAAUUUAAAAAGAUAAAACAAAAAAGAAAAGUAGUCGGCCAAAAAAGUGAAACAAAGAUAAUGAAAGAGCAACAGUAAGCUGCUACAAAUUGUAAAAGAUAUAAUGGAAAACAGAAAUAGGCAAAAUGCAAAAUGUUACCAACUGGAAUCGAACCGUUAUGAAGCUAAAAUUCAGUGGACUCUUCUCGCGCGCUGCUUACCACAGAACCAAAGGCUUACCUCUGCGUCAGUAGCGCACAGGUGUUGCUGCCGAUGGAGUAGCGAGAAAAGAAGAGAAAAAUGAUAAGGGAGGAAAGAAUAGCAAUUUACGAUGACUCAAUUAUUAGUGACUAGAAUUUUUUGCACGCAAUGCGUGCUUGAAGUGUUUUUGAAACAGAAACUCGUUUUUUUUGGCAUAGGAGUCUAAAUUUGAACAUUAGACAUACGAAGUAUAAUUGUUUUUAGUUGCAAAUUUGAUUGGUUUAGUUUCUGUCACUUAAGUCUCUCAUCAUUCUUUUUGUUUUUUUUUUUUUUAACUUUUCAACGUUAAAUUCUAUAAACAAAAUAGAAAUUUUAUUGAAUUUAUUUAUGAUUUCUAAUAUUAUAAUUUUUUAGUUGAUUUUUUAAUUAAGUACAAUAUUACAUAAAUUGUAGUUUGUAAGUGAAUUUUUAAGUUUUUGUAAAGUUUUCUCAUUUUAGUGAUUUGCAUAACGUAAAUUAUGCAAUUUUAUGAUUUUAAUUGACUUGUGAGUGAUUGUUAUAAUUAUAUUUUUGGUAUUUUUGUUUGAAGCCCCUUUUGAUUUGUAAGUGAAUUUGUAAUUUAGAAUGGGAAAGGGGUAACAUAGUCUCUUCAAUCGGGGACACCAUAGCUCCCCCUUCCCUUAUAUAAUAGAGAUAUGUUGUACCUUAA